UACGAAGGGGGGCUAGCGUUGCUCGGAAUCACUGGGCGUAAAGGGUGCGUAGGCGGGUCUUUAAGUCAGGGGGUGAAAUCCUGGAGCUCAACUCCAGAACUGCCUUUGAUACUGAGGAUCUUGAGUUCGGGAGAGGUGAGUGGAACUGCGAGUGUAGAGGUGAAAUUCGUAGAUAUUCGCAAGAACACCAGUGGCGAAGGCGGCUCACUGGCCCGAUACUGACGCUGAGGCACGAAAGCGUGGGGAGCAAACAGG
rnacentral:rRNA from 1 species